rnacentral:misc_RNA from 1 species
AAGUCGUAACAAGGUUUCCGUAGGUGAACCUGCGGAAGGAUCAUUACAACGUAUCCAUCCGUUAAACCGAUCGGUGCAAGUUUACUGUACACUGGAGGGUCCGUCUUGCAUUGGAGUAACUUCCCUUGCUAAGCGGGUUGCUUUCUGGUGAUUUUGGAGAAAGCCUAAACCUUUUUAAUAUUUGUCUUAAAAAGUUCUCUUCUCGAAAGGGAAGGGGGCGAAAUAUUUAACCGCACAACUCUUAACAAUGGAUAUCUUGGUUCUC